GCCCGGGUGGCGAAAUUGGUAGACGCACCAUCUUGAGGGGGUGGCGCCAAUAGGUGUACGAGUUCGAAUCUCGUCCCGGGCA
rnacentral:tRNA from 4 species